rnacentral:rRNA from 1 species
AUGCCGCGCGGCAGCCUGGAGAACCACCUGUUCCGGCGGGGCAGCCAGCCGCCGCUGCCGUGGUCCACGCGCGUGUCCGUCGCCGUCGACGUGGCCCGCGGCCUCGCCUUCCCCCACUCCCGCGACGUCAUCUUCCGUGACCUCAAGUCCUCCAACGUGCUCCUCGGCCCCGACCACCGCACCAAGCUCUCCGACUUCGGCCUCGCCCGCGCCGGCCCCACCGGCGGCAAGAGCCACGUCUCCACCCGCGUCGGCGGCAAGCUAGGAGACUCUCUUCAUUUAAUUAUUGAGGCGGAGGUGCCCGUGGUCAGUCAACGGAGUGAUUCAUCCAACCAACCUGCUCCUGCUGCUCCGACUCGGACAGCAACAAGCUGCUGGCGUACGAGUACAUGCCCCGGGGCAGCCUCGAGAACCACCUGUUCCGGCGCGGCAGCCAGCCGCCGGUGCCGUGGUCCACGCGCGUGUCCGUCGCCGUCGACGUCGCCUUCCUCCACUCCCGCGACGUCAUCUUCCGGGACCUCAAGUCCUCCAACGUGCUGCUUCGGGGUGGUGCUGCUGGAGCUCAUGACGGGGCGCCGCGCGCUGGACGAGGCCCGCGGAGUGGCGUCGGAGUUGCUGGUGGACUGGGCGAUGCCGAUGCUGCAGGGGGAGCGGCGCAAGGUGAUACGGGUCAUGGACACCAGGCUCGGCGGGCAGUACCCCAAGAGGCAGGCGCAGGACAUGGCCGCGCUCGCGCUCCGCUGCCUCCAGAACGACCCCAAGACCCGCCCCUCCAUGGCCGACGACGUCCUACCCUCCCUCGAGCUCCUGCUGCAGCCAACCACCGCCAAGUCCUCCUCCUCCUCGACGACGACGACGUCAUCCAGAUCGCCGGCCGCGUCGGCGGCGCCGGUGCACAGAGGCCAUCGUCGUCACAAAGUCUAG